AGGGCGAGAGAGAUAAGGGGCCAACUGCUUAGCUUGGCGGAGAUGAAAAAAUGCCGCCUUUGUUAUAGCUGUAAUCUGCGCCUCCAUAGAGAGGGAGGUAUCGAAGAUUACACCCAAACUCUUAACGGACGGUGCUGGCACUAAUUGCACCCCCGCAAGAGAUGGGAGUUGCCCCCAAUCCCAUAUCGUCCCGUCCCAGCCAGAGGACCUCUGUCUUCGAAGGAUUUAACUUCAACCGGCUUCCACGUAACCAUCCAGCCACAGCUUCCAAACAUCUGGUCAGUGUGUCUGGGGCCGAGUCAGGAUGGCCAUCCAUCAACAGAUAGAGUUGGGUGUCAUCGGCAUACUGAUGGCAACCCAGCCCAAAACUCCGGACAAGCUGGGCGAGGGCGCAUAAAGAUGUUAAAAAGCAUCGGGGAGAGUAUCGCACCCUGAGGCACUCCACACACCAAGGAGUGGCGGGAUGACAAUUCCCCCAAGCGCCACCCUCUGUCCCCGACCGGAGAGAAACGAGCGCAGCCAUUGAAGGACUGUGCCCUGGAUCCCCACGUCGGCAAGGCGGUGGUCCAGGAGUUCGUGAUCAACCAUGUCGAAGGCUGCUGACAGGUCUAGAAGAAUCAGCAGCCCCGACCCGCCUCGAUCCAGCUGCCUGCGGAGAUCAUCUGUUAGGGCGACCAGAGCCGUCUCGGUCCCAUGACCAGCGCGGAAGCCAGACUGGAAUGGAUCCAGAGCCGAUGUUUCAUCCAGAAACCUACCAAGCUGUUCAGCAACCGCUCUCUCAAUCACCUUACCCAGGAAUGGAAGAUUCGAAACCGGGCGGUAAUUGGAUAGAUCUAAGGGAUCUAAUGAUGUUUUCUUUAAGAGCGGGCGCACCACUGCCUCCUUCAAUUCCCCUGGAAAUAUCCCGGUGCCAAGGGACAAAUUGAUGAUAUCCCCCAGGGGGGCCCGCACCUCGUCUGGACACGCUCUAAUCAGCCAAGACGGGCACGGGUCAAGAGGACAGGUGGUGGGCUUUCCAGCUCGGAGGAGUCUGUCCACAUCGGCUGGGGAUAUCCGAUCAAAGUGGUCCAAUACUGGACCCGAGGACAGUCGAGGGGCCUCCAGUUCCUUUAUUGUAUCCAAAUUGGCAGGGAGGUCAUGGCGGAGCAACAGGACCUUCUCCGCAACAAAAGCUCGCAAAUGCCUCACAGCUGUGUGUCAGAUUGUUAUUUAAAUUUGGCUGUCCUUCAAGGGACGUUAAAGACCUAAUUAUACUAAAUAAUUGCGCCGGGCGAGAGCUAGCGGAUGCAAUGGAGGCCGAGAAGUAAGACUUCUUAGCGGCCUUCACCGCCAUCUCAUAGGUUUUCAUAAAAACCCUAUAAGAUGUUCUUGAGGCUCCGUCACGGGCACCCCGCCAUACUCGCUCUAGCCGUCUGAGGUCCCGCUUCAUUUUCCGAAGCUCCUCGGUAAACCAGGGAGCCCGGUUUCUGCGGAGUCGCAGAGGGCGCUUAGGUGCGAUCUCAUCUAUGGCUGCCAGGAGCUGGGUAUUCCAGCCCUCAACAAGCUCAGUCAAUGAGUCGCCAGGGGGAGCAAGGUCCCGCAAGGCUUGACGGAAUCUAUCAGGGUCCAUCAGCCUCUGCGGGCGAGCCCAAAUCGGCUCGCCACCUAAGCAGGGUGGGGGUGGAAAGUCAAUCCUGGCUUUCAGAGCGUAGUGAUCAGACCAUGGCACCUUAAUUGAAGGAGACAUGAUCACAUCUAUACCUACGCCAAAGAUCAAAUCCAGCGUGUGGCCUGCUUGAUGUGUGGGGCCUGAAACAAACUGGGAGAGCCCUAGUGUUGCCAUGGAAGACACCAGGUCCAGAGCCUGUGAGGAGGGAGUGGCAUCAGCAUGGAUGUUGAAGUCCCCCAAUACCAAUAGGUUAGGGAACUCCAAGGCCCAGCCGGCCACCGCCUCCAGCAGGCCUGACAGGGUGGCUGCUGGUGCGCUAGGUGGCCGGUACACCAGCCAGACAGCCAAGCUCACCUCAGAGCCCCACACUAGGCCAACACAUUCAAUGCCGGGGAUCGAUGGCGAUGGUAGAGCCCUGAAAGGACAAUCUUCCCGGAUUAAUAAUGCCACCCCUCCCCCCCGGCCCACAGUCCGUGACUGGUGGAGGACGGAGAAACCCGGGGGCGCCAUCUCUCGUAAGGUAACUGUUGCCCCUUCGCGUACCCAGGUCUCCGUCACACAAGCCAGGUCGACCCCCUGCGAGGUAAAGAAAUCUCGCAGAGUGGCGGUUUUGUUGCCUAUAGACCUGGCAUUGCACAACACCAGUGACGGAGGUGAGUAAUCCUUGCUCACCCUACCCUCGUCCCUCGGGAUGGGGCGCAGAUUGGAAGGGGUACGAGCAUAUCCGUAUCUCGAUCCCCUUCGCCUAUAACAUCUGCCCCCACCACCAUACCUCCCUCGCCCCUCCACGGUAGCAAUCCCAAGCCUCAUACAAGCCUCCAUUUACAAAAUAGCAAAACAAACCAAACCGAAAACAAUUCUACCUAAACAAAACCAAUCCCCACCCCAAACCAC